rnacentral:rRNA from 1 species
AGAGUUUGAUCCUGGCUCAGGAUGAACGCCGGCGGUGUGCCUAAUACAUGCAAGUCGAACGCGUUGGCCCAACUGAUUGAACGUGCUUGCACGGACUUGACGUUGGUUUACCAGCGAGUGGCGGACGGGUGAGUAACACGUAGGUAACCUGCCCCAAAGCGGGGGAUAACAUUUGGAAACAGAUGCUAAUACCGCAUAACAAUUUGAAUCGCAUGAUUCAAAUUUAAAAGAUGGCUUCGGCUAUCACUUUGGGAUGGACCUGCGGCGCAUUAGCUUGUUGGUAGGGUAACGGCCUACCAAGGCUGUGAUGCGUAGCCGAGUUGAGAGACUGAUCGGCCACAAUGGAACUGAGACACGGUCCAUACUCCUACGGGAGGCAGCAGUAGGGAAUCUUCCACAAUGGGCGCAAGCCUGAUGGAGCAACACCGCGUGAGUGAAGAAGGGUUUCGGCUCGUAAAGCUCUGUUGUUAGAGAAGAACGUGCGUGAGAGCAACUGUUCACGCAGUGACGGUAUCUAACCAGAAAGUCACGGCUAACUACGUGCCAGCAGCCGCGGUAAUACGUAGGUGGCAAGCGUUAUCCGGAUUUACUGGGUGUAAAGGGCGUGUAGGCGGGAUUGCAAGUCAGAUGUGAAAACUGGGGGCUCAACCUCCAGCCUGCAUUUGAAACUGUAGUUCUUGAGUGCUGGAGAGGCAAUCGGAAUUCCGUGUGUAGCGGUGAAAUGCGUAGAUAUACGGAGGAACACCAGUGGCGAAGGCGGAUUGCUGGACAGUAACUGACGCUGAGGCGCGAAAGCGUGGGGAGCAAACAGGAUUAGAUACCCUGGUAGUCCACGCUGUAAACGAUGGAUACUAGGUGUGCGGGGACUGACCCCCUGCGUGCCGCAGUUAACACAAUAAGUAUCCCACCUGGGGAGUACGAUCGCAAGGUUGAAACUCAAAGGAAUUGACGGGGGCCCGCACAAGCGGUGGAGUAUGUGGUUUAAUUCGACGCAACGCGAAGAACCUUACCAAGCCUUGACAUUGAUUGCUACGGAAAGAGAUUUCCGGUUCUUCUUCGGAAGACAAGAAAACAGGUGGUGCACGGCUGUCGUCAGCUCGUGUCGUGAGAUGUUGGGUUAAGUCCCGCAACGAGCGCAA